GAGGAUAUAGCUCAGCAGUAGAGUGCAUGCUUAGCAUGUGUGAGUUCCUGGGUUCAAUCCCCAGUACCUCCA
rfam:Camelus ferus unplaced genomic scaffold scaffold258, whole genome shotgun sequence.